rnacentral:rRNA from 1 species
AGUCGUAACAAGGUUUCCGUAGGUGAACCUGCGGAAGGAUCAUUACAGUAUUCUUUUUGCCAGCGCUUAAUUGCGCGGCGAAAAAACCUUACACACAGUGUUUUUUGUUAUUACAAGAACUUUUGCUUUGGUCUGGACUAGAAAUAGUUUGGGCCAGAGGUUUACUGAACUAAACUUCAAUAUUUAUAUUGAAUUGUUAUUUAUUUAAUUGUCAAUUUGUUGAUUAAAUUCAAAAAAUCUUCAAAACUUUCAACAACGGAUCUCUUGGUUCUCGCAUCGAUGAAGAACGCAGCGAAAUGCGAUAAGUAAUAUGAAUUGCAGAUUUUCGUGAAUCAUCGAAUCUUUGAACGCACAUUGCGCCCUCUGGUAUUCCAGAGGGCAUGCCCGUUUGAGCGUCAUUUCUCUCUCAAACCUUCGGGUUUGGUAUUGAGUGAUACUCUUAGUCGAACUAGGCGUUUGCUUGAAAUGUAUUGGCAUGAGUGGUACUGGAUAGUGGCUAUAUGACUUUCAAUGUAUUAGGUUUAUCCAACUCGUUGAAUAGUUUAAUGGUAUAUUUCUCGGGUAUUCUAUGCUCGGCCUUACAAUAUAACAAACAAGUUUGACCUCCAAUCACGUAGGAUUACCCCGCUGAACUUAAGCAUAUCAAUAACCGGAGGAAAUCACUAAUUGAAUGUCCGGCCGCCGGCAGUCCACCAAAAGGGGAGAGCUCUCAAUGCGUUGAAUGAUAUUCUGGGUAAUCUAUAAUGGUCUCAAAAAUAAGCUGGCUUAAACAUUGUAUUAUAUGAAUCCUGUGGAAACUUGUGAUCUGCUCACAAAUUCCACCACUAUAUCUAUCCUUUUCCAAUAGUAUGAAAUCCCAGUAUUUCCUCUAUUUAAAAUAUUAUAUCAAUUCAAAUCGUCAAAGCAUUCCCAACACGCAUCAAUUUCCAAAAAACCAUGAUUUGCGAAAAGUCG